rnacentral:rRNA from 1 species
UAGGGAAUCUUCCGCAAUGGACGAAAGUCUGACGGAGCAACGCCGCGUGAGUGAAGAAGGAUUUCGGUUCGUAAAACUCUGUUGUUAGGGAAGAAAAAAUGUAUAGUAACUAUAUACAAAAGAGACGGUACCUAACCAGAAAGCCACGGCUAACUACGUGCCAGCAGCCGCGGUAAUACGUAGGUGGCAAGCGUUGUUCGGAAUUAUUGGGCGUAAAGCGCGCGCAGGUGGUUUAGAAAGUCUGAUGUGAAAGCCCACGGCUCAACCGUGGGGGGUCAUUGGAAACUAAUAAACUUGAGUGCAGGAGAGAAAAGUGGAAUUCCUAGUGUAGCGGUGAAAUGCGUAGAGAUUAGGAGGAACACCGGUGGCGAAAGCGGCUUUUUGGCCUGCAACUGAAACUGAGGCGCGAAAGCGUGGGGAGCAAACAGG